UACAGAGGGUGCGAGCGUUAAUCGGAAUUACUGGGCGUAAAGCGCGCGUAGGCGGCUUUGCAAGUCGGGUGUGAAAUCCCCAGGCUUAACCUGGGAACUGCAUUCGAGACUGCAUUGCUAGAGUAUGGGAGAGGGAAGUGGAAUUUCCGGUGUAGCGGUGAAAUGCGUAGAUAUCGGAAGAACACCCGUGGCGAAAGCGGCUCUCUGGAACGGUACUGACGCUGAGACGCGAAGGCGUGGGGAGCGAACAGG
rnacentral:rRNA from 1 species